UACGUAGGGGGCAAGCGUUGUCCGGAUUUAUUGGGCGUAAAGAGCGUGUAGGCGGCCAAGCAGGUCCGCUGUGAAAACUCGAGGCUCAACUUCGAGCUGUCGGUGGAAACUUUCUGGCUAGAGUCCGGAAGAGGAGAAUGGAAUUCCUGGUGUAGCGGUGAAAUGCGCAGAUAUCAGGAAGAACACCCGUGGCGAAGGCGGUUCUCUGGGACGGUACUGACGCUGAGACGCGAAAGCGUGGGGAGCGAACAGG
rnacentral:rRNA from 1 species